UAUCAUCGAAAGGUGUCGUCGGUUCACAUCAUUUGUGGCUGGAGAAGGAGAGGUAGAGCUGUUGUGCAACCUCGAAAGGAUGGAAUUGAGGGAUUGUGCGAGUUUAGAAAAGCUUCCGGGCAAGAUGCACGCACCAAGGCAUUUAAGCAUUGAGAAUUGUCCAAAAAUAGUGGGACUAACCAUUCCUUCGGAUGGCCCCAGUAGUAAUAACUCGAUGCCUCAGCUUGAAUCUCUCGAGGUAAUUCAUUGUUAUUCUCUGACAUCCAUUUGGGUAGCCAAGGGUAGACUCGCUGCUCUAAAGACACUUUAUAUUAGUGAGUGUGAGAGAGUGGAGUCGCUAGAAGAGAUCUCCACCGGAGAAUCGCUGGAAUCUUUGACUAUUGCUUGGUGUGAGAAUUUGGGAAGCCUACCACGAUGCCUUCACGCGCUCUCCCAUCUCACUAAGUUGAUGAUAAGCGGGUGUCCAGCAUUAGAGAUAGAGGAGGACUUCCCUCCCCUUCCCAUCACCCUCUCGAAACUUGUUCUUUGGCAUUGUCCGAAGAUAAAGUCUAUUGCCAGCAGUAACAUUGCCAACUGUAAGAAUCUCACUCACUUGGAUAUAGCUAAUUGUCCAGCAUUGGAGAUAGAGGAGGACUUCCCUCCCCUUCCCACCACCCUCUCGACUCUUGAACUUUCGAGCUGUCCGAAGAUAAAGUGUCUACCAAAUCAGUGGCAUCAUCUUACCUCCCUCCAGUCAAUAUAUAUUUGUAAUUGCCCAAAUAUCAAAUGCUUCCCCGAAGGAGGUUUCCCUCCCAAUUUGCGGGUCCUUGAAAUCUGCGGGUACGAGAAUUUGAAGCAGCCAGUGAGAGAAUGGGGCUUACCCCUCCUCACAUCCCUCCAAUCUCUGACAAUUGGCUUUGGAAGGAGCAUGGGUGGAGGGGAGGCAGAGAAGGUGUGGUUUCCUCCGUCGGAGGAGGAUGACGAGGAGGAUGCGUGGAGUCUUGUCUUCCCUCCCUCUCUGACCUAUCUUUGCAUUUACAAUAUGAGGAAGGUGGAAAGACUAUCCAGCGGUCUUCGCAGCCAUCUCUCCUCUCUCACACAUUUAGUCAUUUAUGGCUGCCCGAAGUUGAGGGACUUGCCAGAGGAUGGCCUCCCUCCCUCCCUCCAAUAUCUGUCCGUAACUGGAUGCUCGAAUCUGAAAGAAGGAUGCUCAAAACUCACUGGCCACUAUUGGCCCCUCAUCCAAGACAUCCCCAGCAUCUACAUUGAUGGCGUUUGGACCCACUGAAUUGAUUCGUGCAUCAACACUAGAGUCAGUUUUAUAGGGUUCGGGUACUAAUGUGAUCUCUAUUGGUAAAAUCUCUUGGAAGGAUCACUUGCGAACGCUGUG